UACGUCCACCUGUCUCCCCCAUCACUCCCCUCCGUCUACUUCCACCUGUCUCCCCCAUCACUCAGAGGUCAUUCAGACCUAAACGCGUUUCUAGAUAAUUCUCUGCUCCACGUUCUCCUUUUUCUUCUCUGCUGCUGUUGUUUUUUUCCCUCCUGUUCGUUUUUAAACCUCCACCUUUCAGCCUUUCUUUUUCCAACCCCGUCUCCUCAGCGCCGCCGCUAUCUGCCUCCUCCCUCCUCGUUUCCUCCCUCCUUCACACCCUCGGGCACACGAUAAGGAACCAGCGGGAUUUAUGCUUCCUCUUCCCCUCUCCCUCCGGGAGAGAGCGCCGGACUCCCUCUGUGCGCCGGCCCGAUGGCGCCGCCUAGCGGAGAGCAAACACACGCCGGCGUUGUGUUAACACUUUGCACUUUGUGUAGAAGAUGGUGCGUACAUUUCCUUUCUUGCACAACGUCGAUCUGAUUACUGUGGAUUUUGAUCGUAUCACACAAUCUUUGUCUGGAGGUUUAAAAGUUCAGUUCUUACAUUUCCUCGAGCAAUUUAAGGAAAGGACUGAAAGAAGAGAAGUAAGAUAUCCUUCCAUUUUUUGAAGGAUAUCUUACUUCAAUUAGCAUAUAGUGUGUUGAUGCAUUUCUUACAGCUUUGUUGCGUUUAUCAAAGUACUAUUAAUGCUUUUUUAGGUGCUUUUCAACACAUUUUAGUGUCUUUUUAAGUCCGGUUCCAGUCACUAGUAAACUGUCAUUGCGAAAUCUUUUCAACUCUAAAACUGCACUCAAAUUCUAAAAAGUAAGACUCCAAAAAACAUGAAAUUCUUUUUCAAUUUCAUUUAUUAUUAUACAGCAAAACGCAGUAAAAGUACAUUUACAACACACAGAGAAAAACACACUUUGAAAUAAACACAACUCAACGUUAUAUAUUCAUAAACGCAGAGAAUCAAAGAUAAUUUACGUGCGUACAUGAAGCAUGUUGGAAAGGAAACACGCCAGUGCCACAGGGAUUAGUGCGAAGAAAAGACUGUAAUGUGUGUAAGUCCUGCAGGUGAGCUUGGGGUGAUGCGCUGCGCGUCAGCACCACGGAUAGCGGCGCUCUGCAGGGCCACAAUCCGGCUGGUUAACCAGGGUUCAGAUAAACACCAAACUCACAGGCAAAAGAACCUGUGUUGUUGUUGAGUUUAUUUGUUCGACGCGGGAGAAGCUGCUCUCAAUCAGCCUUCGUGCUGCUGGAAGCUCCUGCAGCUGAAGGAGAAGAAGAAGAAAAUCUCUCCUGGAGCUUAAGAUGACCUCAUCCAUUCCAUCACAAGGAUGAGAGGAAGCGAGCUGGGAGAGGACCAGGACCAGGACCAGGAGACGACCAGGGGACGACCAGGGGAGGACCAGGAGACGACCAGGGGAGGACCAGGAGACCAGGGGAGGACCAGGUGACGACCAGGUGACGACCAGGAGACGACCAGGGGACGGAAACAUCUGAAGCAGGUUGCACCACCAUGUUUACGCUGAUGCAACAAACUUUUUAUGAAGUGAAUUGAACACAAAAUGUGCCGAUGGUUGAAGGAAGUAAUCUGAUAAACGUUCAUUAUUCUUAUUUUUUUUAACGAGAGCCGAUGACUCAAAUGUACACGUUGAAUCCAUAAUAAAAGUUAAUCCGUGCGCACAAAUGUAGCUCAUUUCCCAGAAAUCAGUUAGUCAGUUUUCCAGAUGUAUAACUGACUCGCUCUGUCCUGACACACACACGCAUGCACAAACACACACACACACACGCACGCACGCACACAAAAAUUCCCCAGAGAAGUCUGUACCAAAUCAGAUCUAACACACACACAAUAAUCCCCAAAGCACGGAGCUACGCAUCUUUUUCAUCCUAAUCAAUAAUUACAUUACAUCAACUUACAAAAUAAUGGCCUCCAAAUUAAUUUAACUUUAUAAAAAGAGUGAAAUAAUGAAGGGAUUCAAUUACAAUUAUUAUGAUUUAUUUUAACUAAGGGAAGCAGCACAGGAGAGAAAAAGAACAAAGUGACAGAAAUAAACAAAGGAAGAAAACAGCAUUUUUGUUCUAACCCUGAAAAAAAGGCAAUGAAAGAGAAUAAGUGAGAGACACACACACACACACACACACACAGUUGGUGUUUCUAUAACCUUUGACCCCUCAGGCCCAUCAAUAACCAGGAGGCGAGGAGAAGUGUGUGUGCUGUCUCAUUCGUCUUCAUUAGACACUGUGUGUGUGUGUGUGUGUGUGUGUGUGCGCCCGAUGUCUUGCACACAUAGUCGAAGUGAAUACACACACGUGAGAUUUAUUAAGCGUUCGAUAAAGUAAUAAAACAAAGUUUUGCCAUC